GUCCGAGGCCUGGGAGGAGCUGUCCGCCUCGCUCAGCGGGUCAGCUGGACACCAGAGAGUGCUGUAGUCGCCGGCACCAUCACAGUCCUCGUGGCUUUCCUCGGUGAACCCCAGCCCCUGGGCGCUUUGGUGCACAGGAUGCAGGAAGCCGUGAUGACCAGCAGGAGAGCGAGGAGCGCCGCGAACCCAAAAAUGAUGCCGCUGCUCUGGUCCUGACCUCUACAAGGAAAACCGCAGCGCGCUCCAGCCACGCAGUCCCACGGACUCAGAGGAAAUGAAGUCAGUGUGUCAAAGCGACGCGUGCACUGCUGUGUUUGCUGAGCCUUAUUUGCCAUACUCAAGGCGUGGACUCCACCCCUGCGCCACUCAGCAGGUACAUAGACAACACAGAUGUGCUGUACACACCCAGCUGUACUGUUCGGCCUUGAAGAAGAAGGGCAUCUUGUCCUUUGGGGCAACACAGAUGCAAUGAGAGGCUAUUGUGUCGAGCAGAUAACCCAGGCCAGAAAGACAAACACGUAUGAUCUCCCAUGCGACUUGGAGUCUAAGCCAGCUGAACUCACAGCAGCAGAGAGUAGACGGGGACCAGGGGCUGUGGGGGAGGGGUUGUAGGGAUGACAGUUACCAGAUACGAAAUUUCAGUUAGAAGGAAUAAACUCGGGGCCAUGGCGCACUAGGUUAAUACUCCACCUGUGGUGCUGGCAUCCCAUAUGGGCGCCAGUUCUAGUCCCGGCUGCCCCUCUUCUGAUCCAGCUCUCUGCUAUGGCCUGGGAAAGCAGUAGAAGAUGGCCCAAGUUCUUGGGCCCCUGCACGCAUGUGGGAGACCGGGAAGAAGCUCCUGGCUCCUGGCUUCAGAUCGGUGCAGCUCUGGCCAUUGUGGCUGUCUGGGGAGUGAACCAAUGGAAGGAAGAUCUUCCUGUCUCUCCCUCUCACUGUCUGUAGCUCUGUCUCUCAAAUAAGUAAAUAAAAAAUCUUUAAAAAAAGAAGAAAUAAACUCAAGAGGUCUACUGCACACUGUGGUUACUGUGUUUAAUAACAAUGUAUCAUAGCCCUAAAAAUAAGAGAGAGUGAAUUUUAAGAGUUCUCCCCAUGAGAAAGGAAGUAAGUGAAUUAGUGCAUAGCCAUUCUGCAAUGUAUACAAUAUUUCAAAACAUGUUAUGCACCAUACAUGAUUGUUCUUUACAAUUAAAAAACAAAAUUAUCUUAAAAAUAAAUAGCUAGGUGAGGGAGCAGGCUUCUGACAACUUUCAGGAAUUCAUUCUUCAUCAGCACCCACGUCUCACUCGCAAGCGACAUAUGUUUGCCACAGUAAAAACGCGUUUCUCAAAAUGACAGCGAUUUUAAAAUGUAUUAUCAUGGGCUUGUAUUUUUCUCACGGUACUGACCUUUCUUGCUAGCAGUGUUUCUAAAGAUUCAAUGGCUGAUGGACUUAUCUUUACUGGUGCGAGACCGAGAGUAGCAGCGGUGACACAGAUGCCCCCUUAGUCCCAGGAGAGGCUAUGUCCUAAAGAUGAGUCUUUAUGCUGAUAGGAUUCCAUUUUCUAUUCAUGGCAGGUUUCUAGAACCUAAAGACACAUCCUUGGGAAACUGGGCUUUUGUUUCUAUCACGGUAGGAUCAUGUUUGCUUCACUUUCUACUUUUAUUUAUUCAAAAGUCACACAGGGAAGAGAAAGAGAAAGAGAGAAAGUUUGAUUUCCCACUGGCUGGUUCACUCCCCACGAGCCUGAAAUAGCCAGGGCUGGGCUAGGCUAAAGCUAGGAGCCCAGAACUCAAUUUGGGUCUCCCACACAGGUGGUGGGGAGCCAGCUACAGCAUCUGCUUCCUCCCAGGGUGCACGCCUGCAGGAAGCUGGCAUCAGAUGUGGAGAUGGGACUUGAACUCAGGAGUAGGAUGUGAGAUGCGGGUAUCCCAAGGGCAUCUUAACGGCUGCGCCACAUGCCCACUUCCUAUUUUUUUUUUUUUUUUUGAGGGGUGUUUGGUGGGACCUGAGUUAGGGAAGAUGGAGGACGGGGCGCAGGGGCCCUGAGGGAAGUCCAGGGGAGUCAGGCCACCAGCAAAGAGGACCCGUGUAAUUGGACUUCCUGACCCCUCAUCGCCUGCCCGUCCUCCCGCCAGCCCCGAGCAAAUGCCUCCGAGCCCAGAGCUUGUGGCCUUGGGGGACCCGAGCCUGUUUGAGGCUCCCCAAGGUGGGGGGGGGGGCGGGGAAGCCCCAU